rnacentral:rRNA from 1 species
UACGUAGGCAGCAAGCGUUGUUCGGAGUUACUGGGCGUAAAGGGUGUGUAGGCGGUUCUUUAAGUUUGGUGUGAAAUCUCCCGGCUCAACUGGGAGGGUGCGCCGAAUACUGAGGGACUAGAGUACGGGAGAGGAAAGUGGAAUUCCUGGUGUAGCGGUGAAAUGCGUAGAUAUCAGGAGGAACACCGGUGGCGAAGGCGGCUCUCUGGGUCGGACCCGACGCUGAGGCGCGAAAGCGUGGGGAGCGAACGGG